GCAUUUAAUAAUGUAAUACUUCAUUCAUCCACUAGAUGGCAGAGCUGUCAAUCAAAUCAUCAGUAAAUGUUGUCAUAUAUGAAGACUCUUCACUGUGCUUUAGUUUAUGUUUUGACUUUGUUCCCAAUGUAAAAAUUAAAGUCUGAUUUCACUGCACUUUUAUUUUGAGGUCAAAUUAUUCUCACUGAACACAACACUGACCUACAAUACUCAAAACCUUCCCCAGACUUUGUUUUAACUCAAUUUCUUAAAUCCAGAAGAAAGCACAGGGGCUCACUUUAUUAUAAUAAUUGCAAGAGACAAAUCUCACCACAAUCACCUCAAUAUUAUUUUAAAAUCUUACCUGUUUGACUAGAUGGUCAAACUCAUCGACCUCUGAUACUGCACUCGUGCUUCUGUCCUAAUCACAGACAAUCCGACAGAGAGCCAUAACACACUCAUAUGUGACCGAUAUUACUUUUAUAACAUCUACGACGUAACAUAAACCAGUGUGAGAUUGAUUUAUCUUCUACUGACACCAUGCGGUCAUGACUGAAACAACAGCAAACACUCCUCUGAUCUCACACAUGAGCGCGCUCCAAACAUCACGCGCGCGUCAAAGACCACUGUGUGUUUAAAUAUAACUGUUUAUUAAAACAGAAUAUAGGAAAAUGUUGUGUUUUUGAAGCGAAGUCAUUGAUUGUUGACAUAAAUUGUGAAUUUAAGACGUGAGGAGUCAAAUCGAUGUUUAAUUUUGAUUAUUAAUGCCUGAAGUCAUUCUUACGUCAUCAUUAGUGGUCCUUUACUCGUCAGACGGCUCUGUUGUUGUUGUGGGAGCGCAACUGAGGAGAUUUACUUUACAAGACGAAGAGAUAAAACAUGAAUAUGACAAACUACUUUACAAGAAAAGACGGAUUUGUAACAGUCAACAUUUCAGUUAGAGGAGGAAAAUCACAAUCAUCUGAAACAUCUUUACCUGA